UACACUCACACGGACACACAUGGCCAC
rnacentral:piRNA from 1 species